CGGGACAUGGCGCAGCCCGGUAGCGCGCACGACUGGGGGUCGUGAGGUCGCAGGUUCAAAUCCUGUUGUCCCGA
rnacentral:tRNA from 1 species